GUAGGGUGCAAGCGUUAAUCGGAAUUACUGGGCGUAAAGCGUGCGCAGGCGGGUUUUGGUAAGUCUGUCGUGAAAGCCCCCGGGGGCUCAACCUGGGGAAUUGCGAUGGAGACUGCAAGGCUUGAAUCUGGCAGACGGGGGGUAGAAUUCCACGUGUAGCAGUGAAAUGCGUAGAGAUGUGGAGGAACACCGAUGGCGAAGGCAGCCCCCUGGGUCAAGAUUGACGCUCAUGCACGAAAGCGUGGGGAGCAAACAGGAUUAGAUACCCUGGUAGUCCACGCCCUAAACGAUGUCUACUAGUUGUCGGGGUUUUAAUUAACUUGGUAACGCAGCUAACGCGUGAAGUAGACCGCCUGGGGAGUACGGUCGCAAAGAUUAA
rnacentral:rRNA from 1 species